rnacentral:rRNA from 1 species
UGGGGGAUAUUGCACAAUGGAGGAAACUCUGAUGCAGCAACGCCGCGUGAGGGAAGAAGGUUUUCGGAUUGUAAACCUCUGUCUUCGGUGACGAAAAAUGACGGUAGCCGAGGAGGAAGCUCCGGCUAACUACGUGCCAGCAGCCGCGGUAAUACGUAGGGAGCGAGCGUUGUCCGGAAUUACUGGGUGUAAAGGGUGCGUAGGCGGGAAAGCAAGUCAGGCGUGAAAACUACCGGCUUAACUGGUAGAGUGCGUUUGAAACUGUUUUUCUUGAGUGAAGUAGAGGUAGGCGGAAUUCCCGGU